rnacentral:tRNA from 1 species
GUUAUCGUGGUCGAGUGGUUAAGACGAUAGACUCGAAAUCUUGUGGGAUCUUCCCGCGCAGGUUCGAAUCCUGUCGACAACG